rnacentral:rRNA from 1 species
GAUGAACGCUGGCGGCGUGCCUAAUACAUGCAAGUCGAGCGAACGGACGAGAAGCUUGCUUCUCUGAUGUUAGCGGCGGACGGGUGAGUAACACGUGGAUAACCUACCUAUAAGACUGGGAUAACUUCGGGAAACCGGAGCUAAUACCGGAUGAUAUUUUGAACCGCAUGGUUCAAGAGUGAAAGACGGUCUUGCUGUCACUUAUAGAUGGAUCCGCGCUGCAUUAGCUGGUUGGUAAGGUAACGGCUUACCAAGGCAACGAUGCAUAGCCGAACUGAGAGGGUGAUCGGCCACACUGGAACUGAGACACGGUCCAGACUCCUACGGGAGGCAGCAGUAGGGAACCUUACGCAAUGGUCGAAAGCCUGACGGAGCAACGCCGCGUGAGUGAUGAAGGUCUUCGGAUCGUAAAACUCUGUUAUUAGGGAAGAACAUAUGUGUAAGUAACUGUGCACAUCUUGACGGUACCUAAUCAGAAAGCCACGGCUAACUACGUG